rnacentral:sRNA from 12 species
UCUUGGUAUGAAAACCAAGGCUACAAGUUAGAUAUUAAGCUUCCAAUAGCGAUAAAAUUCAAUCACAACAUAUAGUAAUGAUGAAGGAACCAAAAGUGAGCUGAGUGAAAUAUGAAGUGAUGGUGAUUUACUUUCAUUUAUCUGACUAGUUGAG